CACAGUUUAUUACUUGAGGAACGGUAAUGAACACAAACAUAAGUGAUGUUUUAAGAAAAGGAAGCUAAAAGGCCUUUAGCAUCAGAAGGAUAUUGGAUGUUAUGAAUGUGAAUUAUAGGUCUACUGACCCUUCCCAAUCCCAUAUAAAAGCACCCUCAGUACAAGACUCUACAUCCAGUUUCUUUCAUCGACCCUUGAUCAACGCCUUCAGAGAGACUGAUCGGCAGCCAACUCAAGAUGUCUCUGACUCCCCUUGAAUCAGCCUUGCAAACUCUUGCCAGCAUUUUCAACCAAUACAAGGUGGAAGGGUCGGAUCCUCCUGGGCUUAUCAAGGAAGAACUGGAGAUGGCGACACCAACCAAGGAGAAGCUCCCAUUCAAGCUAUUGGGCACUCCAGACGUACCGGCAGAAAUAGCUGAAAAAUUGCCUGGGUCAAAGAGACUGUUGCUGGCACUCUAUCUGUUACCUGAACCCUCCUUGAAGAAAUGGAUUAGCAGCCAGGAGAAGGAGGAGGCAGCGAGAGGGGGUAACUAAGAGAACUUCACUAAUGUAUACCAGAAUUGUCCCAGUUGGAAAACUCCUUUCAAUAAACAGACAAA